AUUGAACGCUGGCGGCAUGCCUUACACAUGCAAGUCGAACGGCAGCACGGGUGCUUGCGCCUGGUGGCGAGUGGCGAACGGGUGAGUAAUGUAUCGGAACGUGCCUACGAGUGGGGGAUAACUAUCCGAAAGGAUAGCUAAUACCGCAUAUUCUGUGCGCAGGAAAGCGGGGGAUCUUCGGACCUCGCGCUCGUGGAGCGGCCGAUAUCAGAUUAGCUAGUUGGUGGGGUAAAGGCUUACCAAGGCGACGAUCUGUAGCGGGUCUGAGAGGAUGAUCCGCCACACUGGGACUGAGACACGGCCCAGACUCCUACGGGAGGCAGCAGUGGGGAAUUUUGGACAAUGGGCGCAAGCCUGAUCCAGCCAUGCCGCGUGAGUGAAGAAGGCCUUCGGGUUGUAAAGCUCUUUCGGACGGGAAGAAAUCGUGUGGACUAAUACUCUGCGCGGAUGACGGUACCGUCAUAAGAAGCACCGGCUAACUACGUGCCAGCAGCCGCCGUAAUAC
rnacentral:rRNA from 1 species